ACCUGGGUUUGACAUAGCAGUGGUAGGAAGAGAGUCGGACCGACCUUCGGGAGCUGUUACAGGUGUUGCAUGGCUGUCGUCAGCUCGUGUCGUGAGAUGUUCGGUUAAGUCCGCUAACGAGCGCAACCCGCGUUGUGUGUUAUAUGUGUCACACAAUACCGCCGGUAUUAAGCCGGAGGAAGGUGCGGAUGACGUCAAGUCAGCAUGACCUUUAUAUCCAGGGCUACACACACGCUACAAUGGACAGUACAACAGGUUGCCAAGCCGCGAGGCGGAGCCAAUCCUCUAAAGCUGUCCUCAGUUCAGAUUGCAGGCUGCAACUCGCCUGCAUGAAGUUGGAGUUGCUAGUAACCGCAGGUCAGCUAUACUGCGGUGAAUACGUUCCCGGGGAUU
rnacentral:rRNA from 1 species